rnacentral:misc_RNA from 1 species
CAUCAUCGGAAUUUUGGCCAUUUUAGAUCCUUGUCGUGGAGUGUGUCGCGGUCCUGGUCCGCUGCAAGGCAGCUCCAGGCGAUUGGGAAUAAUUUGGCGGCACCCAGAGCCAAUGAAAUUGUCUCUACUAAUGGAAUUGUGGUGGCUGUUUAUGCCAUGAACUCAAUUUUGUUGUUUGUAAUGUGGGCUUUGGUGGCAGCGAUACCUUGCCAGGACAGAGGGUUGCAAGUGCAUUUCUCGAUUCCUAG